rnacentral:rRNA from 1 species
GACCUGGCUGAUCUGUCCUCCUAAUCGAGCGCACGGAUUCGGUCGGGUCUUUCCUUCUGGGGAGCCCUAUGCCCUUCACUGGGUGUAGUGGGGAACCAGGACUUUUACCUUGAAAAAAUUAGAGUGUUUAAAGCAGGCUUACGCUUGAAUACAUUAGCAUGGAAUAAUAGAAUAGGACUU